rnacentral:rRNA from 1 species
CACGUAGGAGGCAAACGUUAUCCGGAUUUACUGGGCGUAAAGCGCGUGUAGGUGGUUCUGUAAGUAGGGCAUGAAAGCUCCCGGCUCAACUGGGAGAGGCCGUUCUAAACUGCAGAGCUAGAGGAUGGUAGAGGGAGGUGGAAUUCCAGGUGUAGCGGUGGAAUGCGCAGAUAUCUGGAGGAACACCAGUGGCGAAGGCGGCCUCCUGGACCAUUCCUGACACUCAGACGCGAAAGCUAGGGUAGCAAACGGGAUUAGAUACCCCGGUAGU